rnacentral:rRNA from 1 species
UACGGAGGGGGCGAGCGUUAUUCGGAAUUAUUGGGCGUAAAGGGCGCGUAGGCGGCGCGGUAAGUCAAAGGUGAAAUCCCUCGGCUCAACUGAGGAACUGCCUUUGAUACUGUCGUGCUCGAGGCCGGGAGGGGGUAGCGGAAUUCCCAGUGUAGCGGUGAAAUGCGUAGAUAUUGGGAGGAACACCAGUGGCGAAGGCGGCUACCUGGACCGGUUCUGACGCUGAUGCGCGAAAGCGUGGGUAGCAAACAGG